rnacentral:rRNA from 1 species
AGAGAGAGACAUGCGCGCAUAUCAAUAAGCGGAGGAAAAGAAACUAACAAGGAUUCCCCUAGUAACGGCGAGUGAAGCGGGAAGAGCUCAAAUUUGAAAUCUUAAAGGGUUUCCCUUUACGAAUUGUAGUUUAAAGGAAGUGUUUUCUGUUGAGGUUUUGGUAAAAGUUCUUUGGAAUAGGACAUCAUAGAGGGUGAGAAUCCCGUAUUUGACCUUUACUUUCAACUUUGUGAUACACUUUCAAAGAGUCGGAUUGUUUGGGAAUGCAGUCCAAAAUGGGUGGUAAAUUUCAUCUAAAGCUAAAUAUUGGCGAGGAGACCGAUAGCGAACAAGUACCGUGAGGGAAAGAUGAAAAGAACUUUGAAAAGAGAGUUAAACAGUACGUGAAAUUGUCAAAAGGGAAGCGUUUGACACCAGUGUUGUUUUUCUGAAAAUCAAUUAAAGAACUGUUUAUGCUAAGCUGUUUAGACUUUAUCAGCUAUCUGUUUAGUUUUGAGCUUUUCUUUAAUGCACUUUUCAGUUAACAAGUCAACAUCAAUUUCUUUUGCUGUAAAAAAGCUUGAGGAAGGUGGCUUGAGAUUCGUCUUAAGUGUUUAUAGCCUCUUGCCUAUGCAGUCGGAGAGAUUGAGGUCUGCAGCGUAGAUCCUUCGGGGCUAAAUGCAUUUGUGCUAAGUUAUAGCAUUUUAUAGACAACUUGUUGACUAUGAUUUGUCUUGUAGCUUACUCGCUUAUGUUAUUUUACCUACGCUUAGGAUGUUGACGCAUGAGAUAUACGC